UUAAGGAAAGGCUUGGGACUACGGGAAAGCUCGUAUAUUUUGAAUGACAAAGUACUUGGAAACGCUAGUGUUCAAUUUUAAUUGCUCAAGGGAGAAAACAAAGCAGGAAGAGAUUUACUCCUCUCUGGAUCUCUGGCUCAACCUAGGUCUGGAGCUUCCACAAAGGAAACACUCAGGACAUGGUAGCUCAAAUGGAAAAAAAGUACACCGAGGUGAAGAGACUGGAGGAAGUUAAGCUCUGAACCAGGUGCUGCCAGUAUGCUACUCAAGAACACGCAACGCAAGAGCAGUCAGCAAGUAUUCUUACUGGAAGUGUGAAAUCGGAAGCUGAAAAA